rnacentral:tRNA from 1 species
UAUUUUGUGGCUUAGUUGGUUAAAGCGUCAGUUUAGCGAAUACGAGUUGUAGGUUCGAAUCCUACCAGAAAAA